rnacentral:lncRNA from 1 species
GAAAAUUAAAGAAGGAGAGCAGAAGAAGAGACUAUCCUAGAGCAUAAAGUAAAAGUUAGGGAGGAAAUAUCUAACCAAGAGAAAACAAGGUUUGUGACAUAACUCAAGCAAGAAUUCCCUCAUUUGGAUAAGCCUCAAGUAAGCCAAAUAUGAAAAGAAUAAUCCAUGUAUCAGAUGAAACUAAAGAUAAACAAGCUAAGUCUCCAAAAUAAGUCCAAAGUCAAAGGCACCAGAUGAAUAUUAAGGUCUCAAAUCACAAGUUCCCAAAGCAAAGGUCAAG